UGUUCCUGACACGCGUCUUUUAUUGGCAAUUUUGCUGGCUAUCGCGCUCACCACAACCAUCUUUAGUAAGUGUGUGCUUGCCGUGCAGACUGCAAGCCGACCUCAACAAUGGAUUUAUAAGAACAAGGAUGGUUUCUGGGAACAUAUGGAACUGUGCUUCUUUGCCAAGAGCCGAUGGGAUUGCAAUAUGGUUUCGUAUGUCGCCUGUCCACCAAAAACCUCACGUGUCCGCUUUUGCUCGGACACUGACUACCUUGACUGUACACAAUGGACUCUCCGAUCUGGCUUUACUUUCUGCAGCUGUCACUGCGGAGUCGAACAGCCGUUGAUGAUUCCCGCUGUACAACGAGGCCCAGGAAACCAUUCCAUUCAAGUAACAACGCCAGCGCCCAGCAAAUCUCAUGGUUCACAUCACGGAUGAAGAAAGCCAAAAUAAG